AGAAGCGCAUACGGUGGAUGCCUUGGCAGUCAGAGGCGAUGAAAGACGUGGUAGCCUGCGAAAAGCUUCGGGGAGUCGGCAAACAGACUUUGAUCCGGAGAUGUCUGAAUGGGGGAACCCAGCCAUCAUAAGAUGGUUAUCACACACUGAAUACAUAGGUGUGUGAGGCGAACCAGGGGAACUGAAACAUCUAAGUACCCUGAGGAAAAGAAAUCAACCGAGAUUCCCUUAGUAGUGGCGAGCGAACGGGGACUAGCCCUUAAGCUUCUUUGAUUUUAGCGGAACGCUCUGGAAAGUGCGGCCAUAGUGGGUGAUAGCCCUGUACGCGAAAAGGUCUUAGAAGUGAAAUCGAGUAGGACGGAGCACGAGAAACUUUGUCUGAAUAUGGGGGGACCAUCCUCCAAGGCUAAAUACUACUGACUGACCGAUAGUGAACUAGUACCGUGAGGGAAAGGCGAAAAGAACCCCGGAGAGGGGAGUGAAAUAGAUCCUGAAACCGUAUGCGUACAAGCAGUGGGAGCCUACUUUGUUAGGUGACUGCGUACCUUUUGUAUAAUGGGUCAGCGACUUAUUUUCAGUGGCGAGCUUAACCGAAUAGGGGAGGCGUAGCGAAAGCGAGUCUUAAUAGGGCGUCUAGUCGCUGGGAAUAGACCCGAAACCGGGCGAUCUAUCCAUGGGCAGGUUGAAGGUUGGGUAACACUAACUGGAGGACCGAACCGACUACCGUUGAAAAGUUAGCGGAUGACCUGUGGAUCGGAGUGAAAGGCUAAUCAAGCUCGGAGAUAGCUGGUUCUCCUCGAAAGCUAUUUAGGUAGCGCCUCGUGUAUCACUGCUGGGGGUAGAGCACUGUUUCGGCUAGGGGGUCAUCCCGACUUACCAAACCGAUGCAAACUCCGAAUACCAGCAAGUGUCAGCACGGGAGACACACGGCGGGUGCUAACGUCCGUCGUGAAAAGGGAAACAACCCAGACCGUCAGCUAAGGUCCCAAAAUCCUGGUUAAGUGGGAAACGAUGUGGGAAGGCUCAGACAGCUAGGAGGUUGGCUUAGAAGCAGCCACCCUUUAAAGAAAGCGUAAUAGCUCACUAGUCGAGUCGGCCUGCGCGGAAGAUGUAACGGGGCUCAAACCAGGUACCGAAGCUACGGGUUCAACGUAAGUUGAGCGGUAGAGGAGCGUUCUGUAAGCCUGUGAAGGUGAGUUGAGAAGCUUGCUGGAGGUAUCAGAAGUGCGAAUGCUGACAUGAGUAACGACAAUGGGAGUGAAAAACUCCCACGCCGAAAGACCAAGGGUUCCUGCGCAACGUUAAUCGACGCAGGGUGAGUCGGUCCCUAAGGCGAGGCUGAAGAGCGUAGUCGAUGGGAAACGGGUUAAUAUUCCCGUACUUCUAGUUACUGCGAUGGGGGGACGAGAAGGCUAGGCCAGCUUGGCGUUGGUUGUCCANNNNNNNNNNNNNNNNNNNNUUGUGUAGGAUAGGUGGGAGGCUUUGAAGCGUGGACGCCAGUUCGCGUGGAGCCAACCUUGAAAUACCACCCUGGCAACUUUGAGGUUCUAACUCUGGUCCGUUAUCCGGAUCGAGGACAGUGUAUGGUGGGUAGUUUGACUGGGGCGGUCUCCUCCUAAAGAGUAACGGAGGAGUACGAAGGUGCGCUCAGACCGGUCGGAAAUCGGUCGUAGAGUAUAAAGGCAAAAGCGCGCUUGACUGCGAGACAGACACGUCGAGCAGGUACGAAAGUAGGUCUUAGUGAUCCGGUGGUUCUGUAUGGAAGGGCCAUCGCUCAACGGAUAAAAGGUACUCCGGGGAUAACAGGCUGAUACCGCCCAAGAGUUCAUAUCGACGGCGGUGUUUGGCACCUCGAUGUCGGCUCAUCACAUCCUGGGGCUGAAGCCGGUCCCAAGGGUAUGGCUGUUCGCCAUUUAAAGUGGUACGCGAGCUGGGUUUAGAACGUCGUGAGACAGUUCGGUCCCUAUCUGCCGUGGACGUUUGAGAUUUGAGAGGGGCUGCUCCUAGUACGAGAGGACCGGAGUGGACGAACCUCUGGUGUUCCGGUUGUCACGCCAGUGGCAUUGCCGGGUAGCUAUGUUCGGAAGAGAUAACCGCUGAAAGCAUCUAAGCGGGAAACUUGCCUCAAGAUGAGAUCUCACUGGAGCCUUGAGCUCCCUGAAGGGCCGUCGAAGACUACGACGUUGAUAGGUUGGGUGUGUAAGCGCUGUGAGGCGUUGAGCUAACCAAUACUAAUUGCCCGUGAGGCUUGACC
rnacentral:rRNA from 1 species